rnacentral:lncRNA from 1 species
GAUUCAAGAGAGAUGGAUUUGAAGGGUGGACUAUUCAGUAGAUAAGGAAUUGGCUGGAUGGCUGCACCCAGAGAGUGAUGGUCAAUGGCUCAAUGUCCAACUGGAGGCUGCUGAUGAGUGGUGUACCUCAGGGGUCUCUGGGUCCAGUGCUAUUUAGUAUCUUUAAUAUCUUAAUAUCUUUAUCAACAACACAGACAGUGGGAUGGAGUGCAGCUUCAGCAAGUCUGCAGAUGACACCAAGCUGAGUGGUGCAGUCAAUAACAACAGGAAGAAGGGAUGCCAUCCAGAGGGACCUGGACAGGCCUGAGAAGUGGGCCCACGUGAACCUAAUGAUGUUCAAGUCAUGAGCACAGACUGGGUGAAGAACUCACUGGGAGAAGCCCUGCAGAGAAGGACAUGGGGGAUCUGGUGAACAAAAAGCUCAACACAAGCCAGCAGUGCGUGUCUGCAGCCCAGAAGGCCAACUGUAUCCUGGGCUGCACCAACAGAGGGGUGGGCAGCAGGUGGAGGGAGGGGAUUGAGCCCCUCUGCUCUGCCCUGGUGAGGCCCCACCUGGAGUGCUGCGUCCAGGGCUGGGGCCCCCAGCAUGAGAAAGAUGUGGGCUGUUAAAAUCGGUCCAGAGAAGAGCCAUGAGGACGAUCAGAGGGCUGGAGCACCUCUCCUAUGGGGACAGUCUGAGAGAGCUGGGACUAUUCAGCCUGCAGAAGAGGAUGCUCUGAGGACACUCCAUUGCAGCUUUUAAUAUUUAACAGGGGUUUAUAAAAAAGAUGGAGGAAGACUUUUUGCUUAGGCAGAUAACGAUAAAACAAAAGGGACAAGGUUUUAAACUAAAAGAGAGAAGAUUUAGAUGUUGGGGGGAAGUUCUUCACUUGGAGGAUGGUGAGGCCCUGGCACAUGCUGCCCAGAGAAGCUGUGGAUGCCCCAUCCCUGGAGAAAGAAAAACAAUGUGCACGUGGUGGAGCAGCAGCUGCUGCUGUUUCCUGACUGCAAGAAAAGAGUCACCGUGCCCCUGGUUAGGGUUUUGUUAAAGCCAUUCCUGUUCUUACGUCCCCUCUCCUCACCCUGCAUGGGGGCACUCACUGCAGCCCCAUCCCCUUGCUGCCACUGCACCGUGCGCUGUUACUCAUGUCUGGACAAAACAGAAGAAAUUCAACACAUUCACACAAAUUGCCCACAGAUGGGGAUGAGUUAA